GGGGGUGACCGGUUUCGACUUCGGCUUUGCAAGCCAGGAGAAGCGGGCCGAGGACUGCGGACAUAACCUCGUUAAUCCUGUGACCGCAAACAACAAGUGCCAACUCUAAGCGCACUGAGGUCAGCCAGGGCAACCUGGCCCUCGCCGCCUAAGCAGCGAGGUAGCACCUUGUCAGCCCGGGAGCGCCUCCGGCCCGGAUCUGGCAUCGCUAGGAGGCUAAACCGACCGACCCGGCCACGGGGUCGGAAGGGACACCUUACAGUGGCUGAGCCCGUCGGCGACUCGCCUGUGUGAUCGCCGGGGCUGAGAAAAGCACAACAGGCUGCGCCCGGAGAAGCCCUGACUUGGAGUUGAAGGACGCGGGUUCAAUUCCCGCCACCUCCACC
rnacentral:tmRNA from 1 species